CUGCGGCCCGGACCCGGCGGACCCGCGCGGCGACCCGGAAGGGCCCGAGCUGCCGCCGCCGCGAUGGGCCGGAAGGUGACGGUGGCCGCCUGCGCGCUCAACCAGUGGGCCCUGGACUUCCAGGGCAAUCUGCAGCGGAUCUUAAAGAGUAUUGAAAUUGCCAAACGCAAAGGAGCAAGAUACAGGCUGGGACCAGAACUGGAAAUAUGUGGCUAUGGAUGUUGGGAUCAUUAUUAUGAGUCGGACACCCUCUUGCACUCGCUCCAAGUCCUGGCUGCCCUUCUUGAAUCUCCAGUCACUCAGGAUAUCAUCUGUGAUGUGGGAAUGCCAGUGUUGCACCGGAAUGUCCGCUACAACUGCAGGGUGAUAUUCCUCAAUAGGAGGAUCUUGCUCAUCAGGCCCAAAAUGGCCUUGGCCAACGAAGGCAACUACCGGGAGCUGCGCUGGUUCACCCCGUGGUCAAGGAGCCGGCAAACAGAGGAGUAUUUUCUCCCCCGGAUGAUACAGGACGUGACAAAGCAGGAAACUGUGCCCUUUGGAGACGCAGUGCUGGCCACCCGGGACACCUGCAUUGGGAGUGAGAUCUGCGAGGAGCUCUGGACACCCCACAGCCCACACGUGGACAUGGGUCUGGAUGGCGUGGAGAUUUUUACCAAUGCCUCGGGCAGCCACCACGUGCUGCGCAAAGCCCACGCCAGAGUGGACCUGGUGACCAUGGCCACCACCAAGAAUGGUGGGAUCUACUUGCUGGCCAAUCAGAAGGGCUGUGAUGGGGACCGGCUCUACUAUGACGGGUGUGCCCUGAUAGCGAUGAACGGCCACAUUUUCGCACAAGGGUCUCAGUUCUCUCUGGACGACGUGGAAGUCCUCACCGCAACUUUGGAUUUGGAGGAUGUCCGAAGCUACAGGGCGGAGAUUUCAUCUCGAAACCUGGCGGCCAGCCGGGUGAGCCCCUACCCCCGAGUGAAGGUGGACUUUGCUCUCUCAUGCCGCGAGGACUUGCUGGAGCCGCCGUCUGAGCCCGUCGAGUGGAUGUACCACAGUCCGGCUGAGGAGAUCAGCCUGGGACCCGCCUGCUGGCUCUGGGACUUUUUAAGACGCAGCCGACAGGCCGGGUUUUUCUUGCCCCUGAGUGGUGGGGUGGACAGCGCAGCCACCGCCUGCCUCGUCUACUCCAUGUGCCGCCAGGUCUGCGAGGCCGUGAGGAACGGAAACCAGGAAGUGCUGGCUGAUGUCCGGGCCAUCGUGGACCAGCUCAGCUACACACCCCAGGACCCCCGAGACCUCUGCGGGCGCCUGCUGACGACCUGCUACAUGGCCAGCGAGAACUCGUCCCAGGAGACAUGUGACAGAGCCAAGGAGCUGGCCCAGCAGAUCGGAAGCCACCACAUUGGUCUCAACAUCGACCCAGCAGUGACAGCCGUCGUGGGGAUCUUCAGCCUGGUGACGGGUAAGAGGCCUCUGUUCGCGGCUCACGGUGGAAGCAGCAGGGAGAACCUGGCGCUACAGAACGUGCAGGCUCGGCUAAGGAUGGUCCUGGCAUAUCUGUUUGCUCAGCUGAGCCUCUGGGCCCGGGGCGCUCGUGGUGGACUGCUGGUGCUGGGGUCAGCCAACGUGGACGAGAGUCUCCUGGGCUACCUGACCAAGUACGACUGCUCCAGUGCAGACAUCAACCCCAUAGGUGGGAUCAGCAAGACGGACCUCAAGGCCUUCGUCCACUUCUGCAUGGAACACUUCCAGCUUCCCGCCCUGCAGCGGCUCAUGGGCACUGUGGCAGCCAUCAUGACUAGCCUCUGUGUGUCUUGGCCACAGCAUCCUGGCAGCACCGGCCACCGCAGAGCUGGAGCCCUUGACCGACGGACAGGUGUCCCAGACUGACGAGGAAGACAUGGGCAUGACGUACGCGGAGCUCUCUGUCUACGGCAGGCUCCGGAAGAUCGCCAAGGCCGGGCCCUACAGCAUGUUCUGCAAGCUCGUCAACAUGUGGAAAGACGCGUGUUCCCCAAGGCAGGUGGCUGACAAAGUGAGGCAGUUUUUCUCGAAAUACGCCAUGAACAGACACAAGAUGACCACGCUCACGCCCGCCUACCACGCAGAGAGCUACAGCCCCGACGACAACAGGUUUGACCUGCGGCCGUUUCUAUACAACAGCAGCUGGCCUUGGCAGUUUCGGUGCAUAGAAGAUCAGGUUCAUCAGCUGGAGAGCAGAGGCCGUCAGGACCUGGAUGGCGUGGACUGAUGCCGGCUCCUGCACGGGAGGGCCCCCCACCACCAGGGUCCCUGGUGUUACGUCGGCCUCGCCAGUAAUCUGCCCAGAGAGUGCACCAGCAUCCUGUUUCACGUCUGAUGGGAGAGGGGUCUUUUCAUUCUAGUUCGUUAAAAAAGACUCAAAUAAAGAGCAUGUGAUUUCUGGGA